rnacentral:rRNA from 1 species
GAUGAACGCUGGCGGCGUGCCUAAUACAUGCAAGUCGAGCGAACGGACGAGAAGCUUGCUUCUCUGAUGUUAGCGGCGGACGGGUGAGUAACACGUGGAUAACCUACCUAUAAGACUGGGAUAACUUCGGGAAACCGUAGCUAAUACCGGAUAAUAUUUUGAACCGCAUGGUUCAAAAGUGAAAGACGGUCUUGCUGUCACUUAUAGAUGGAUCCGCGCUGCAUUAGCUAGUUGGUAAGGUAACGGCUUACCAAGGCAACGAUGCAUAGCCGACCUGAGAGGGUGAUCGGCCACACUGGAACUGAGACACGGUCCAGACUCCUACGGGAGGCAGCAGUAGGGAAUCUUCCGCAAUGGGCGAAAGCCUGACGGAGCAACGCCGCGUGAGUGAUGAAGGUCUUCGGAUCGUAAAACUCUGUUAUUAGGGAAGAACAUAUGUGUAAGUAACUGUGCACAUCUUGACGGUACCUAAUCAGAAAGCCACGUCUAACUACGUG